rfam:Salmo salar isolate Sally breed double haploid chromosome ssa23, whole genome shotgun sequence.
UUCCCUGUAGCUCAGUUGGUAGAGCAUGGUGUUUGCAACGCCAGGGUUGUGGGUUCGAUUCCCACGGGGGACC